AUUGAACGCUGGCGGCAUGCCUUACACAUGCAAGUCGAACGGCAGCACGGACUUCGGUCUGGUGGCGAGUGGCGAACGGGUGAGUAACGCGUGAGGAACCUGCCUUCCAGUGGGGGACAACAGUUGGAAACGACUGCUAAUACCGCAUAACACAACGAGACCGCAUGAUCUUGUUGUCAAAGCUUUAUGUGCUGGAAGAUGGCCUCGCGUCUGAUUAGCUAGUUGGUGGGGUAACGGCCUACCAAGGCGACGAUCAGUAGCCGGGCUGAGAGGUUGAACGGCCACAUUGGGACUGAGAUACGGCCCAG
rnacentral:rRNA from 1 species